rnacentral:rRNA from 1 species
AUUGAACGCUGGCGGCAGGCCUAACACAUGCAAGUCGAGCGGAUGAAGGGAGCUUGCUCCUGGAUUCAGCGGCGGACGGGUGAGUAAUGCCUAGGAAUCUGCCUGGUAGUGGGGGAUAACGUCCGGAAACGGGCGCUAAUACCGCAUACGUCCUGAGGGAGAAAGUGGGGGAUCUUCGGACCUCACGCUAUCAGAUGAGCCUAGGUCGGAUUAGCUAGUUGGUGGGGUAAAGGCCUACCAAGGCGACGAUCCGUAACUGGUCUGAGAGGAUGAUCAGUCACACUGGAACUGAGACACGGUCCAGACUCCUACGGGAGGCAGCAGUGGGGAAUAUCGGACAAUGGGCGAAAGCCUGAUCCAGCCAUGCCGCGUGAGUGAAGAAGGUCUUCGGAUUGUAAAGCACUUUAAGUUGGGAGGAAGGGCAGUAAGUUAAUACCUUGCUGUUUUGACGUUACCAACAGAAUAAGCACCGGCUAACUUCGUG